GUCUUAGAAGCUUUUGGUAAUGCGAAAACUGUGAGAAAUAAUAACUCAAGGUGAGGUGAACUUCCAUUUGCAAUUCCCUGGACAGUCUUGCAUCUGUUCUACAUUAAUCAUUUUCAGUAAUGCUUAUCUAUUGCCACCAUUUCAGUUGCUUUGGCAAGUUUGUGAAGAUUCAGUUUGAUCAGAAGGGAAGGAUUUCAGGGGCUGCUAUAAGAACGUACUUAUUGGAAAGAUCUUGUGUUUGUUAACUAUCACAUCUCGAAAGAAAUUAUCAUUGCUUCUACAUGCUUUCUGCUGCACCACCAGAGAAUUCUGGUCUGCAACCACUUUUUCAAAUUGGGAGAGAUUGCUUUCACAUGAAUUCAGGUUUGCAACCACUGUUUCACCAUACGGCAUGUUCGUUCUUUCAGCCUUCAAAUCUAAGGUGUAAAAAAUACAAGGUUCAAAGCAUUAACAUGAUGAUGCAUCAAGAAGCCUUAGGUCAUCGCAUUUGGAAAUGAAACCUCAACUAGAGAAGAAGAUGAAAGGAUCGUCUUUCGAAAUAGCAGAUCAAAGUAGCAAUUCUUCUACCGUUGAAGGAAUUGUGCCCUAUCGGAAAUGGCGUAUCAAAGUAGCAAACCAAUAAUUUUAUUUGUUUUUCAUUGAUCAACUUCAAUUUGGAACCAUAAC